CAGUAUCCCUUCGUCCGCCCCCUUUCACAGCACCGGCUACUUGGGCACAGGAUGGCACUGACCACACCCACUUAACCCACUUGGGGGGGGGCUACAUCGUGUAACAUAGGCAACACAGCACCACUGUAAAUAUUUUCUAUGUACCUUUUCACAAAGACUAAUGAAAACCGGUGGGGGAAAAGGGGUACAUUUUAAAAAUAAAAACGAGAACUGUAAAAGUAGACUUUGUGUAAAAGAUGAUGGUUAAUGAACCCUGGUGCUCAUCACUUACCCAGAAUCCCCCACACCUCUCUCCUUCCCAUAAUCUUGUACUGCCAUCCUGUCUUUUCCAGACGUCUUUUUUUUAUUUUUAAUGUUUUUAUUCAUUUUAAUCACCCUUUCCAGUCUCUUCCCGUUGAAUCCUUCCUCUAUCCUCCCAGUGCAGUGCAAUGCAAUGGUACAUUCCAGUUUCCUCCUUACCUUUCCCUGUUCUUCCCGUUUCUCACUGUUUUUCAUUCAUCAGUUAUUUGUUUUAUCUAGUGGCUCAUUAUAUAGCAAAAAGGUUUUGUAUAGAGAAAAAAAUACAGAAUUAUUAUUUUUUUUAUUCCUCCAUGUAACAAAAAUAUCUGUGCACCGCUGCAGAAAUUCAGAGGAGACCUUUCUGAUAGGCCGCUUCACUGCCCCAGGAGACUGCACUUGUGUGAAUGAGCGAGUCUGUGUGCAUGAGUGUCUGUUUUUAACCGGAAGGGAGCAUGUAUGCUUGCGUGCCGCCCGUAUCCGUGCGCAUAUUUGAAGUGCGCAUGAGAAACGGAAGGCACAUACGGCACAGACAGAUGCGUGCUGUUCUCUGUGGCAGCUUUAGAAAGAGAGGUCCUUCCUGUAGGGGGUAAGCGGUUUAUUUUUGAAUAUCAAUGGUUAUUUGUAGAAAGUGUAAUUUAAUGUAUAGGUGGUUACUCCAGCUUUCUCCAGAAACAGUUGUAAAUAUUGGCUUCUUUUCUUUUCUAUGCUUGUAUAAUUCGCUCCCAUCCCCAUUUUGGAAUAUGGUUGUAAAUACAAGCGCUCUUGACAAAAACGCUGAAUGUUUCUGUGACUGUAGCACUAUUUUUAUUUCUUCCUCUCUGGUUUAUUUUUUUUUUUACUGUUUGUGUGUGAGUGUAUGUGUGUGUGAAGGACAGAGGCUCACAGACACAGCACUGGUUGGCUAUUUUCAUGGUUCAUUAUAAUAAAUCACUGUAAUGACAGUUUUAUACCAACCUAAUGUCUUGUGUGUUUUACUAAGACAGGAAAGGGGGCUGUUUUUGAUGUUUACAUGUUCCUAAUGUGAAUUUUUCUUUCACUGUGAAGGUCACUAUGUGAAGAGGUGCUGCAAUGAAGGUUUGAAGAGACUGCUGUUGCUGAGACCUAUCUUAAGAUCGAACAGAACGAAGGAAAAGAGGUUUUAUGACCAAUCAGAAUGAAAGCAGACUUGAGAAGCCCAAUCGGAAUGAAGGCAGCGAGAUUACAUGACCAAUCAACGUCAAGCCAGAGGUUAUAAUCAGCUGGAACGAAGAACUUCAUCCAGCAUUGUCCAAACUCUUCAGCUGUCUAAGAAGGGAGGGAGUGCCACUAGGUACACAGUGAGGUCAUUUCCUGUGGGCUUUUGCUUUUUGAACCACAUUCUCCAGGUUUUCCCAUGGCAUUUUCAUCCUAGGCUGUUCAUUUAUCUUGGUGGGACACAAUGAUUAUACCAAGAGUACAAAACGGUACCAGCUGAGAACAUCAUAAUUAUGGCACACAUAACUAUACAGCACUAACACUGCCGAGAAGUAAAUAUCGAAUUAGAGACAUACAGAAAUUCAACAUAUACACUCAAUACAUAAUACUUAAAACACUCUCCUACUUCUGUAUAUACUUGGCUUGUGCACAAUUACUAAUGGCAGAGAUGUCUGCCCCUAAUUUUGACACUUAUUUUUAAAAUAUAUUAACAGUGAACUCUCAACUUCUGUUUACAUACCCCUUUUAA